rnacentral:rRNA from 1 species
UGGGGAAUAUUGCGCAAUGGGGGAAACCCUGACGCAGCGACGCCGUGUGAGGGAAGAAGGCUCUCGGGUCGUAAACCUCUGUCGGGAAGGAAGAACCUCUCAGGGCUGAACAAGCCCUGGGACUGACGGUACUUCCAAAGGAAGCACCGGCUAACUCCGUGCCAGCAGCCGCGGUAAUACGGAGGGUGCAAGCGUUAUCCGGAUUUAUUGGGUUUAAAGGGUCCGUAGGCGGACUUAUAAGUCAGUGGUGAAAGCCCGUCGCUUAACGAUAGAACUGCCAUUGAUACUGUAAGUCUUGAGUAUAUUUGAGGUAGCUGGAAUAAGUAGUGUAGCGGUGAAAUGCAUAGAUAUUACUUAGAACACCAAUUGCGAAGGCAGGUUACCAAGAUAUAACUGACGCUGAGGGACGAAAGCGUGGGGAGCGAACA